CCUACGGGAGGCUGCAGUGGGGAAUAUUGCACAAUGGGGGAAACCCUGAUGCAGCAACGCCGCGUGAGUGAAGAAGUAUUUCGGUAUGUAAAGCUCUAUCAGCAGGGAAGAAGAAAGACGGUACCUGACUAAGAAGCCCCGGCAAACUACGUGCCAGCAGCCGCGGUAAUACGUAGGGGGGAAGCGUUAUCCGGAUUUACUGGGUGAAAGGGGAGCGUAGACGGCUGUGCAAGUCUGGAGUGAAAGCCCGUGGCUCAACCGGGGAACUGCUUUGGAAACUGUAUAGCUUGAGUACUGGAGAGACAGGCGGAAUUCCUAGUGUAGCGGUGAAAUGCGUAGAUAUUAGGGGGAA
rnacentral:rRNA from 1 species